UACGAAGGGGGCUAGCGUUGCUCGGAAUCACUGGGCGUAAAGCGCAUGUAGGCGGAUCGUUAAGUCGGGGGUGAAAUCCUGGAGCUCAACUCCAGAACUGCCUUUGAUACUGGCGAUCUCGAGUCCGGGAGAGGUGAGUGGAACUGCGAGUGUAGAGGUGAAAUUCGUAGAUAUUCGCAAGAACACCAGUGGCGAAGGCGGCUCACUGGCCCGGUACUGACGCUGAGGUGCGAAAGCGUGGGGAGCAAACAGG
rnacentral:rRNA from 1 species